AAUUUUGGACAAUGGGCGAAAGCCUGAUCCAGCAAUGCCGCGUGCAGGAUGAAGGNCUNNGGGUUNUNAACUGCGUUUGUACGNNNNNAAAAGUCUCGGGAUAAUACCCUGGGACCAUGACGGUACCGUAAGAAUAAGCACCGGCUAACUACGUGCCAGCAGCCGCGGUAAUACGUAGGGUGCAAGCGUUAAUCGGAAUUACUGGGCGUAAAGCGUGCGCAGGCGGUUAUAUAAGACAGAUGUGAAAUCCCCGGGCUCAACCUGGGAACUGCAUUUGUGACUGUAUAGCUAGAGUACGGUAGAGGGGGAUGGAAUUCCGCGUGUAGCAGUGAAAUGCGUAGAUAUGCGGAGGAACACCGAUGGCGAAGGCAGCCCCCUGGGAUAAUACUGACGCUCAGACACGAAAGCGUGGGGAGCAAACA
rnacentral:rRNA from 1 species